GAUACUUAAAGAGUGGAUGAAGGUUGCAGAAAAGUCAGAAGCGGUGUGACUAUGGAAGAGGUCUGAGUGAUGUGAUGUGAGAAGGACUCCAUUCAUCUUUGUACAUUUGAGGAUGGAGGGCAGAAAACCACAAACCAAGGGAUGCAGGCAGCCUCUAGAUGCUGGAAAAGUUAUGUGUUGUACUGCAGUUUGAAGCAUCAGCCAUUAAAUUUGAGAUGGCAGGCACUAAGGAUAUCAUGAACCAUUUGCAUUAUUGUCACAGCCACUCAGUGCUGGGUCCUGUUUAGACAAAUAGGAAACAAGAGGGAAAGUGUGCAUAUUUCAAGUGCCAACUGCUAUAUGAUGGGACCUUGGGGAUACAGAGGAUAUCCCAACAAGAUUGAUAGUCACAACCAAAGAAGCCUGUUCGAACUUCCAGGCGGAGCUUGAGAUCUCUUCCUCUCAUCUGAGAUCAGCUAGGGUGAGAGUUCCGUGAAUCCCCCAAUAGGCAGGGACAGCGCUAUGC